rnacentral:rRNA from 1 species
AGUGAACGCUGGCGGUAGGCCUAACACAUGCAAGUCGAACGGCAGCACAGUAAGAGCUUGCUCUUACGGGUGGCGAGUGGCGGACGGGUGAGGAAUACAUCGGAAUCUACUUUUUCGUGGGGGAUAACGUAGGUAAACUUACGCUAAUACCGCAUACGACCUACGGGUGAAAGCAUGGGAUCUUCUGACCUUGCGCGAUUGAAUUAGCCGAUGUCGGAUUAGCUAGUUGGCGGGGGAAAGGCCCACCCAGGCGACGAUCCGUAGCUGGUCUGAGAGGAUGAUCAGCCACACUGGAAGUGGGACACGGUCCAGACUCCUACGGGAGGCAGCAGUGGGGAAUAUUGGACAAUGGGCGGAAGCCUGAUCCAGCCAUACCGCGUGGGUGAAGAAGGCCUUCGGGUUGUAAAGCCCUUUUGUUGGGAAAGAAAAGCAGCAGGUUAAUACCCCGCUGUUCUGACGGUACCCAAAGAAUAAGCACCGGCUAACUUCGUG